rnacentral:lncRNA from 1 species
CCUUGGGAUACUCAUUCCUAUUCUUGUUGCACUUUGUAUAAUGGAGCCCAAUAUAGAGCGACAAAGAAACAAGCUUUUGGGUUACUUCUUCUGUGUUACAAUUGUUAUAUUCUCAUAAGAAAAAGCAAAUCAUACAGCUUCAGCCCACUUGGUAUCCCGAAACGACUGUCCAUCCACAUCCAUUCCAUCCAUUCCUCGCAGGCAUCAUACACCCAAGGCGACUGACAGGGCAUCUGUGGGUCGGCCAUCUUCAUCUUCAUCUUCAUCUCCAUCUCAAGUGGCGGACAGCCUCCGCCUUGUGUUUGAUUUCCAUAUGAAUGUGAUUUUGAUUAGCAAAUGCUUUCAAUUGCCGCUGCUGCUGCUAGGAGCUACCAUUUUGACAGCGGACCAGCACCGUGCGGACUUCCUGUAUCGCAUUGGGGGACUGCAAGACAUAUGAAAGACAAGUGUUCCAAUGCCUGCCCCCUAUCACCCCUCUCCCCGUGGUGCGAUG